rnacentral:rRNA from 1 species
ACAGAUCGUUCAGAGUUUGAUCCUGGCUCAGGACGAACGCUGGCGGCGUGCCUAACACAUGCAAGUCGAACGGGGUUAAGGUCUUCGGAUUUAACUUAGUGGCGAACGGGUGAGUAACGCGUGAGGAACCUGCCUCUCAGUGGGGGACAACAGUUAGAAAUGACUGCUAAUACCGCAUAAUGUUUUCGGACCGCAUGAUCUGAAAACCAAAGAUUUAUUGCUGAGAGAUGGCCUCGCGUCUGAUUAGCUAGUUGGUGGGGUAACGGCCCACCAAGGCGACGAUCAGUAACCGGUCUGAGAGGAUGAACGGCCACAUUGGGACUGAGAUACGGCCCAG